rnacentral:misc_RNA from 1 species
AUCAUUAUUGAGCUAUAUAAUUAUCUUUCUCAUAGUUUAACUAUGAUAGACUUAAACGAUUGUCUGACAUUAUCUGUCACCACUUCUAUGCAACGUUUUCGUCAAAUAACGGCUUUUAUUGGUUUUUAUAGGCGCCUGGAGCAGUUGUAUGAUCGUACUGUAGAUGAUGGGUGUUCUUUUGCUUUUUUUAGCAAAAAAUUAAAGAGGCUGGACUGUGGCCCGCCAUUAUUAAAUACAACUAUUCAUUUAACAUUUUGAAUGUUUGAAUAUUAUUACACUAUGUGUAUGUACUAUUGAUUAAAUUUAUCAAGUCUUGUCGGUGGGUCACUUGGUUCGUAGAUCGAUGAAAAACGGGGCAAAAACCGUUAUUUGGCGUGAAUUGCAGACAUUUUGAUCGCUAAAAUUUUGAAUGCAAAUGGCACCAACAGGUUCAUAUCUGUUGGUAUGUUUGGUUGAGGGUCGAUUAACUCGUAACUUGCAAUCAGCUUGAUUGUUUUUUCGAUAAGUUGCUCUUUAUGGGUACCUUUUCGGUGUGCUAUGUUUUGGGUUUUUGCUCAGAACGACGGUUUAAUUGACUUUGCUUGCUUAGUCUACCGUUAAUUUGACUCUGAGCGUAGUGUGGCUAUUUGCGCUAUUCAACAAAUAGUAUUGGCAUGCUUUUGCCAGCUAACUCGUUCAAGUUUAGGCUUUUAGCUUAGAUUUGUUUAUUGCUUCUAAUGUGAGUUGGCUGUUAUACUAUUUAUUUGCUUCUAGUGAAUGUGUGAAUUGCCAUGCAAUAUUAUGCUCUAUGAGUUUGGUAAAAUUGAUUCGAUUUUACGACCUCAACUCAAGCAAGGCUACCCGCUGAACUUAAGCAUAU